rnacentral:rRNA from 1 species
AGCAGCCGCGGUAAUUCCAGCUCCAAUAGCGUAUAUUAAAGUUGUUGCAGUUAAAAAGCUCGUAGUUGAAUUUCGGGGUUAGUAGGCUGGUCAUGCCUCUGGUAUGUACUGGUCUCACUGAUUCCUCCUUCCUGAUGAACCUUAAUGCCAUUAAUUUGGUGUUUUGGGGAAUUUGGACUGUUACUUUGAAAAAAUUAGAGUGUUUAAAGCAAGCUAACGCUUGAAUACAUUAGCAUGGAAUAAUGAAAUAGGACGUUCGAUCCUAUUUUGUUGGCUUCUAGGAUUGACGUAAUGAUUAAUAGGGAUAGUUGGGGGCAUUAGUAUUCAAUUGUCAGAGGUGAAAUUCUUGGAUUUAUUGAAGACUAACUACUGCGAAAGCAUUUGCCAAGGAUGUUUUCAUUAAUCAAGAACGAAAGUUAGGGGAUCGAAGACGAUCAGAUACCGUCGUAGUCUUAACCAUAAACUAUGCCGACUAGGGAUCGGAUGAUGUUAAUUUUUUAAUGACUC